rnacentral:rRNA from 1 species
AAUGGGGGAAACCCUGAUGCAGCGACGCCGCGUGAGCGAAGAAGUAUUUCGGUAUGUAAAGCUCUAUCAGCAGGGAAGAAAAUGACGGUACCUGACUAAGAAGCACCGGCUAAAUACGUGCCAGCAGCCGCGGUAAUACGUAUGGUGCAAGCGUUAUCCGGAUUUACUGGGUGUAAAGGGAGCGUAGACGGCUGUGUAAGUCUGAAGUGAAAGCCCGGGGCUCAACCCCGGGACUGCUUUGGAAACUAUGCAGCUAGAGUGUCGGAGAGGUAAGUGGAAUUCCCAGUGUAGCGGUGAAAUGCGUAGAUAUUGGGAGGAACACCAGUGGCGAAGGCGGCUUACUGGACGAUGACUGACGUUGAGGCUCGAAAGCGUGGGGAGCAAA